rnacentral:miRNA from 1 species
UCUUCUUGCUGUUUGUGCAGGU